GACGAACGCUGGCGGCGUGCUUAACACAUGCAAGUCGAACGGAAAGGCCCUGCUUGCAGGGUACUCGAGUGGCGAACGGGUGAGUAACACGUGGGUGAUCUGCCCUGCACUUCGGGAUAAGCCUGGGAAACUGGGUCUAAUACCGGAUAGGAGCCAUUUUUAGUGUGAUGGUUGGAAAGUUUUUUCGGUGUAGGAUGAGCUCGCGGCCUAUCAGCCUGUUGGUGGGGUAAUGGCCUACCAAGGCGGCGACGGGUAGCCGGCCUGAGAGGGUGGACGGCCACAUUGGGACUGAGAUACGGCCCAGACUCCUACGAGAGGCAGCAGUGGGGAAUAUUGCACAAUGGGCGCAAGCCUGAUGCAGCGACGCCGCGUGGGGGAUGACGGCCUUCGGGUUGUAAACUCCUUUCGCUAGGGACGAAGCUUUUUGUGACGGUACCUAGAUAAGAAGCACCGGCUAACUACGUG
rnacentral:rRNA from 1 species